CCCUGGGUCCCUUUUCUUCCAGGAAGCAUGUGAGAGGGCCUCCUGUACCCUGGCCUCAAACGGCCCAGCCUCAGGAGUUCUCAGUCCAGCCUCAAGCCAGGAGCACCCUCAGGGUCACAGGAGGCUACUUCCAAAGAGGCCUGUGAGGGAGGCCUCAGGCCUGGCCACACCCAGCACCCCUGCCCUGUGUCCUCAACAGCUAAUGUCAGACCAGACCAAAUCUGGGUCUCUG
rnacentral:lncRNA from 1 species